AGCUCAAUUGAGGCUCAAUCUUGCUAAAAAUCUUGUCUAUAAAGACAAACAGGGAAAACAAGAACACUCAAAAACAACCAUUGAAGAACAAAUAAACUUGUGUUUCUAGAAAAGAAAACAAGAAAAAGCAUGAAACUCAUAAACAAAAGGUACGUAUAUAUUGCCCAGUAACUAGAUAUGAGCCUGCAAGGUGGAGGAAUCUUCAAAGAAUACACUAAAAAUUUGACAACAAUAUUUCCUUGAAACUAAAAACAAGUGUGGCUAACUGACGCAAUAGAUUAAGAUAAUAUUUAAAAGAAGCAUUAUGACAACAUAUUUUUUAGAUGACUUGCUGAAAAAUCCUACAAAAUAACAAGGCAUUAAGAACGAUAAGCAAUGAAUAUAAAUUUCCUUGAUGGUUGAAAAGGGUAGUUACAGUGAGAUGUUAAAUUAUCUCCAACCGCAAACAUAUAAUGUCCAUCUUUGUCAUCUUCUCGCCAUGGGGGAGAAUCAUUUCGAGCCACUGGUUCUUGCAAAUUGUAAUGAUUAAAAUGUUACAUUUUGAGGUCAAUGGACAAAAUAUGAGGAUUAGACCCCCCUUGCCCCCACCCCACCCCAACCCAACCCAACCCAAAAUUCCCCCGGCAUAGGCAGACCUGAUUGCUUAAUUAUAGUUAUAAAAGAUAUAAAUACUACCUUAGAUAAAAAAUGCUAAACAUGCGACAGUUUUCAUGUCAAAACUGCAUAUUUAGAAACUAGUGUCUUUACAUCUAGUAACGCCCAAGCUAACUAUUCUAGAGUGUUUAAGCAGAAACUGAAAGUUUAGAUCAACCCUUCAGAAACUCACCUCUGCCCUUUUGUCCUGCAAAUAAAGUUAUGUACAUAAGUUGAGCACCCAGAACUCCAGUAUAUUGUUAAAGCAAUGAGCUUUUGAUCCACUGAUGACUUGGUCCUCUACAUAUCCAGAAUGAAUUUCCCCGUGAUUAUUGAAAUUACCAAAAUUAUGCAUCCGAUGAAUGGUUUUAAAUUAGUUGAUAUGGAUGUUGUGUCAUUCACAGUUGGAGGGCUUUCUCCGAAACCAGUUGGAGGAAUUUCACCAAAACCUAUUGGGGAGCCUGGUGGAGGGUUUCUUACACUGUUGGAGGAGACACUGAGCUACAAAAAGUCGAAAGAACAAAGGUGAUGGCAAGUAUUAGAUUCUUACUAAGCAGGCUAUAGAAGCUAAGGUAAAAGGAGGGUCGGAGAAGCUAUUUUAUUGGGGUUUUUUUUCCAGGAUUAGAUAGGAAAAUGAGAAUUUAAGUAGGGUUAUUGUUUUUUAUUUUUAUACUUUUUACCAAAUAGACAAACAGACCAACAGUAUGAUACUUGAAGCUAUUAGAUAAACCGGCACAAGGGACACAUGGUAGUUAGACCAGCAAGUCAAACACAAAAGUCAUGGGCAUAAGAAAACCUUCAUGAGACGUGAAUAUAUAAAAUUAACAGCUAAAAUUUUGCAUCUCAAUUUCAACAGAUAAUAAUAUUUCCUUUAGUAAGUAAACUAUAUAAAAGUAUUCCAAGAAGCAAAGAAAGCAGGCAGUAUAUUUAUAGGAUCAUAGAAAAAAAUGACAAAGAAAAUUAAAACAAAGACCGCUUUCAAAACGAGAAUUUAAUUAUCCAUAAAUUAGAGAAUGUUUCUUCUUUCCACUAUAUUAGACAAAGAAUGUGAACUGAACCAACACAUGAGAAAUAAAAUAAUUUAAAGCACAUCCUUGAAAGAUCACCAAAAAGAAAAAAUGUUGUUAAUAUCUCCUGUUAUUAUUUUAUAAGAACAGACCGGUAAACUUGUCACAUGAGGUAUGUGUUUCACUACAUGAAUUAUAUGGGGCAUAUGAGGAUGUAUAGAUGUUGAGAUAC
rnacentral:lncRNA from 1 species